GUGUGUAGCGGGAGAUAAACGGGUUGGUGAUUGGUGCACGGGGUGUAUGCUUGGACUUUUAAGCCUCCAGUUGCAGUCGAGAGGAUGUCGUUGGGGGAACGCAGAGGCACAGGAUAGCCGAGCCCCACAGAGGCGUGGCUGGACUGCAGACGGGCUUGUUCGUGAGUGGAGUCGGCAAGAAUCUGCACCGGUGUCUCGGACGAAGUUGGCUGGAAUCCGCUCUUGUGAGCACUGCGACAUCGGAUUUCAGGGGGGGGAAAACGUUCACCCCUCGCAGAGUUAGGUGCUUUCAACACAAUUCAGCCAGCACUGUUGAGGGUGAAGAUGGAAAGAGCUGGGGUGGACUGUGACCUGGCUGCAUGGAUCACAGACUAUCUCACUAACAGGCCGCACUGUGAGUCGGAUGUGGUAAUCUGCAGCACCGGGGCCCCACAAGCACAUCGUUCACCAUGAGGUCUUGAGGUCGCCCGCCAAAAUCUACGCCUUUAGUCACCAGAGCCUCCUUAAUCGCCUCCACUCCAUUAAGGAUCACCGCCGGCCGCGACCCGAUAAACACACUGAAAACCUUCCCAUACUGAUCUGACAGCUGUAUCAUCCACAAAAAAUAAAUACAAUGUGUUAUAAAUA